UGUAUUUGAUAGCUCAGCCAAUAGAGCAUGAGACUCUUAAUCUCAGGGUCAUGGUUUUGAGCCCCAAGUUGGACAA
rnacentral:tRNA from 1 species